rnacentral:rRNA from 1 species
UGGGGAAUUGUUCGCAAUGGGCGCAAGCCUGACGACGCAACGCCGCGUGAGUGAAGAAGGCCUUCGGGUUGUAAAGCUCUUUCGCAAGGGAAGAAACGAUAGUGACGAAUAAUCACUGUUAAUGACGGUACCUUGAUAAGAAGCACCGGCUAACUACGUGCCAGCAGCCGCGGUAAUACGUAGGGUGCGAGCGUUAAUCGGAAUUACUGGGCGUAAAGCGUGCGCAGGCUGUUUUGUAAGUCAGAUGUGAAAUCCCCGAGCUCAACUUGGGAACUGCGUUUGAAACUACAAGACUAGAAUAUGUCAGAGGGGGGUAGAAUUCCACGUGUAGCAGUGAAAUGCGUAGAGAUGUGGAGGAAUAUCAAUGGCGAAGGCAGCCCCCUGGGAUAAUAUUGACGCUCAUGCACGAAAGCGUGGGGAGCAAACAGGAUUAGAUACCCCCGUAGUCCCUGAGCGGGCUGGCAAGGCGCAU